GUAUGGUGCAAGCGUUAUCCGGAUUUACUGGGCGUAAAGGGCUCGUAGGCGGUUCGUCGCGUCUGGUGUGAAAGUCCAUCGCUUAACGGUGGAUCUGCGCCGGGUACGGGCGGGCUGGAGUGCGGCAGGGGAGACUGGAAUUCCCGGUGUAACGGUGGAAUGUGUAGAUAUCGGGAAGAACACCAAUGGCGAAGGCAGGUCUCUGGGCCGUUACUGACGCUGAGGAGCGAAAGCGUGGGGAGCGAACAGGAUUAGAUACCCUGGUAGUCCACGCCGUAAACGGUGGAUGCUGGAUGUGGGGCCCUUUCCACGGGUUCCGUGUCGGAGCUAACGCGUUAAGCAUCCCGCCUGGGGAGUACGGCCGCAAGGCUA
rnacentral:rRNA from 1 species